rnacentral:ncRNA from 2 species
CUCGCCGAGGGGCGCUGCGACCGUCGAUCAGGACGGCCAGGCUCGGCGCGGUGUCCCGCGAACGGCGCCCGUCAUCG